rnacentral:rRNA from 1 species
GACGAACGCUGGCGGCGUGCUUAACACAUGCAAGUCGAACGGAAAGGCCCUGCUUUUGUGGGGUGCUCGAGUGGCGAACGGGUGAGUAACACGUGAGUAACCUGCCCCUGACUUUGGGAUAACUUCAGGAAACUGGGGCUAAUACCGGAUAGGAGCUCCUGCUGCAUGGUGGGGGUUGGAAAGUUUCGGCGGUUGGGGAUGGACUCGCGGCUUAUCAGCUUGUUGGUGGGGUAGUGGCUUACCAAGGCUUUGACGGGUAGCCGGCCUGAGAGGGUGACCGGCCACAUUGGGACUGAGAUACGGCCCAGACUCCUACGGGAGGCAGCAGUGGGGAAUAUUGCACAAUGGGCGGAAGCCUGAUGCAGCAACGCCGCGUGCGGGAUGACGGCCUUCGGGUUGUAAACCGCUUUCGCCUGUGACGAAGCGUGAGUGACGGUAAUGGGUAAAGAAGCAUCGGCUAACUACGUG